CGGAUGAAGGAAUUGAGACGCACUUUUAAACUCCACCUUUUCCACACACAUUUUCAUCUCGGAUACUGUUUAGUACGGAUAGCAUCCGAGUGUGACGCAGGUACAGCCGUGGAUCAUCACUGAACAGGAAGCAGGAAGUAAAAAAAUAAAUAAAAUAAUAAUAAUAAUCAACUGAGCAGGAAGGAGUCGUUCUUUUUUCAGGACUUUCUUUUCCUCCAAUCUUUAUUAUUCAUUUAUUUACUUUUCUGCUUUCCUUUCUUGUUUUGUUGCUGUUUGUACAUUUAUCUCUACAUUUUCUUUAAUCAUUUUAUUUUGUUGAUUUCUGUUGUUGUUGUUGUUGUCAUUUGCGUUUCCGUUAUUUUUCUUUCACACACUGUUACGUUUGUGUUCUAUGUGUUUGCUCUUUUACAUUUCUCUUUUCUGUGCAUUUUUUCAGUGAUUAUUUCACACAUUUUAUUCGGAUAUUCCUUGUUGUUCAGUUCGGUUGGUGUGUUUUGUCCUGGGUUUGUGGCGAGUGAAUGUGUAGGAGUGGGUUAGGGGUCACUACAGGUCACACAGUGUGUUAGUUUAUCUUUUACAGAAAGAAACGGGGGAUGAGGGCGCUGUAAGGCACAGUGUGUUAUACAGGAUCAGAGCAGCUAUAAUAAUCAUCACAACUUUGGGUUUAAACCAGCUGCUUUGGUUCAUUAUUCCACACACAACACAACACACACACACACACACACACACACACACACACACACAACACAAAGGCACUCUGUAUAUCUACACUGCAACUCAUUACUUAUCCAGGACAUGUUUGGUGUUGGUGUGUGAAGUGCUUUAACUUUGCCCUGGAGGUAAUGUUAAUGCUAAUAAGUGCAGCUAACAAUCAAAGGAAGCUCACGGCCUCCAGUUUAGUGUUUAAAUCUUCACACACUGCCUUUCAAACGACAUCAUUCAUCAAAGUCAAUCUGUACACCAGAAUAAGAUUGUAUUCAAAUAAAAUAUCAGAGUAAAUUACUUUCCUAAGUGAUAAAGUCGGAGUAAACAAUAAUAAUUAAUCAUUUACUCCUCUAAUAAACGAGGUUUUACAUCUAAGAGCGUCCACACACACACACACACACACACACACACACACACACACACACACACACACACACACACACACACGCACGCACACACACCACAGGUGUACAGUGUUAUGUUCCCUGAUAAAGUGCUCCUGUGUUUAAUAUAACAGACGCUCUUAUUUCUCUGUACCGUUACGUUCCUGUUUCUACGUUUAUUUCUAAGCAAAUAAUCAUCGAAUGUAAACGUCUCGAUUGUCUUGGUUUUUGUCUUCGCAGCUGAAGGUCGUGUCUCAUUUACACAGUGUUUAUAAAAGGCACCGAGCGCAGUCUAGAGGAAGGCUGCUUCAGUAUAAUGGGACAAGAGCAUUCCCAUUUGGUGCAUAGAGAUUACAGUGUAGUAACUAGGGAUUAGGGUACACACGUCUGGGGUCAAACACUGCCUGAUUCAAUACACCGGUAUUAGAGUUAGGGUUUAGGGUACUGAAUUCAAGAGUACGGGAGAAAACACAGUCCUAGAGGAAGGCUGCUGCAGUGAAAUGGGACAAGACCUGGUGCGUAAGGAUUAAGCACAGCAAGUAGUAGUGUUCAACGUACAAAAUUCAGUG
ensembl:lncRNA